rnacentral:rRNA from 1 species
UACGGAGGAUCCAAGCGUUAUCCGGAUUUAUUGGGUUUAAAGGGUGCGUAGGCGGCUUAUUAAGUCAGGGGUGAAAGACGGUAGCUUAACUAUCGCAGUGCCUUUGAUACUGAUAGGCUUGAAUGUACUUGAGGUAGGCGGAAUGUGACAAGUAGCGGUGAAAUGCAUAGAUAUGUCACAGAACACCAAUUGCGAAGGCAGCUUACUAAAGUAUGAUUGACGCUGAGGCACGAAAGCGUGGGGAUCAAACAGG